GAGGUUGUGAGGCUCACACGAGUGCAUUCGCUCAGGACUACAUAUCCCAUAAAUCAUAGUUUCCAUUUAAUUAUCAGAGUCUUACCAGGUGUGUGCAGCGGGUCGCGACUCGCGAGCCUCAAAGCGCUGUCGGUACGCACGAGACAGGCAGAAAACAGGAACAGGACAGGACUCUCACCCUCAACACCACACAGCACCACCGCAGACAUGUCGGACUCCGAAACUGCCGCCGCCCCCGCCGAGGCGCCCGUCCCUGCUGCUUGUGCCAACAUCAAGGCUGACCUGGACAAAUGUGUGGCAGAGAAGGGAGCCGAGGGCUGCAAAGAUCUGCUUGAGGCCUUUGCUGCUUGUGUGAAGAGUGCGGCUGAGGGGACGUCAUGAGGAGUCGCCCUCCAUACUCAAAUGUCCACUUCACUGAGCCCUCCAAGUUCCCAGCAUUCCCUUCUGCACAACAGCACUGGACUGAAUGAUGACAACGAUGAUUAAGAUGAUGAUGGCGGGACAAACAUGGUGUUGAUUUGGGCUGAAUUUGGGAUGUGGUGGCAGUAACCACAGUUUCCUCCCCCUGUUGUUAUAGGUUUAUCUUGUGUCCCUCAGUCUUACCGUCAUUCCCCUUCUCCCUCUAACGCUGAUGAGCAGCACAUCGACUUGUAGACAAUUCCAGAGAGCUGAGCUGUAAUGUAAAUUGUCGACUCAAGAUGAAUACUUAUAAAUGGAAAUAAAAUAUCAAAUACUUGGUAUAAAAACAAA